UACGUAGGGUGCGAGCGUUAAUCGGAAUUACUGGGCGUAAAGCGUGCGCAGGCGGUUCGUUGUGUCCGAUGUGAAAGCCCCCGAGCUCAACUUGGGAAUGGCAUUGGAAACUGGCGAGCUGGAGUGUGGCAGAGGGGGGUGGAAUUCCACGUGUAGCAGUGAAAUGCGUAGAGAUGUGGAGGAACACCGAUGGCGAAGGCAGCCCCCUGGGCCAACACUGACGCUCAGGCACGAAAGCGUGGGGAGCAAACAGG
rnacentral:rRNA from 1 species